UACGAAGGGGGCUAGCGUUGUUCGGAAUUACUGGGCGUAAAGCGCACGCAGGCGGCUCGAUAAAUUAGACGUGAAAGCCCCGGGCUCAACCUGGGAAUUGCAUUCGAGACUGCGUAGCUAGGGUGCGGAAGAGGGAAGCGGAAUUUCCGGUGUAGCGGUGAAAUGCGUAGAUAUCGGAAGGAACACCAGUGGCGAAAGCGGCUUCCUGGUCCAGCACCGACGUUCAGGCACGAAAGCGUGGGGAGCAAACAGG
rnacentral:rRNA from 1 species